rnacentral:rRNA from 1 species
CCUACGGGGGGCAGCAGUGAGGAAUAUUGGUCAAUGGACGAGAGUCUGAACCAGCCAAGUAGCGUGAAGGAUGACUGCCCUAUGGGUUGUAAACUUCUUUUAUAUGGGAAUAAAACGUUCCACGUGUGGGAUUUUGUAUGUACCAUAUGAAUAAGGAUCGGCUAACUCCGUGCCAGCAGCCGCGGUAAUACGGAGGAUCCGAGCGUUAUCCGGAUUUAUUGGGUUUAAAGGGAGCGUAGGUGGAUUGUUAAGUCAGUUGUGAAAGUUUGCGGCUCAACCGUAAAAUUGCAGUCGAAACUGGCAGUCUUGAGUACAGUAGAGGUGGGCGGAAUUCGUGGUGUAGCGGUGAAAUGCUUAGAUAUCACGAAGAACUCCGAUUGCGAAGGCAGUUCACUGGACUGCAACUGACACUGAGGCUCGAAAGUGUGGGUAUCAAACAGGAUUAGAUACCCUUGUAGUC